AACAAACGCUGGCGGCGUGCCUAGCACAUGCAAGUCGUACGAGAAAGGGUCCUUCGGGGCCUGAGUAAAGUGGCGCACGGGUGAGUAACGCGUGGAUAAUCUGCCCUUCAGUUGGGAAUAACUCAUCGAAAGGUGGGCUAAUACCGAAUAAUGCUGUGAGACCUCGGUUGAUCAGCCAAAGAGAGCCUCUGCUUGCAAGCCCUCGCUGAAGGAUGAGUCCGCGUACCAUUAGCUAGUUGGUAGGGUAAUGGCCUACCAAGGCGACGAUGGUUAGCGGGUCUGAGAGGAUGAUCAGCCACACUGGAACUGGAACACGGUCCAGACUCCGACGGGAGGCAGCAGGGAGGAAUCUUGCGCAAUGGGGGCAACCCUGACGCAGCAACGCCGCGUGAGUGAGGAAGGUCUUCGGAUCGUAAAGCUCUGUCGGAUGGAAAGAACCGCAUAGGGGUAAACAGCCCCUGUGUCUGACGGUACCAUCAAAGGAAGCACCGGCUAACUCCGUGCCAGCCGCCGCGGUAACAC
rnacentral:rRNA from 1 species